AUUGAACGCUGGCGGCAGGCCUAACACACGCAAGUCGAGCGGAUGAAGGGAGCUUGCUCUCUGAUUCAGCGGCGGACGGGUGAGUAAUGCCUAGGAAUCUGCCUGGUAGUGGGGGACAACGUUUCGAAAGGAACGCUAAUACCGCAUACGUCCUACGGGAGAAAGCAGGGGACCUUCGGGCCUUGCGCUAUCAGAUGAGCCUAGGUCGGAUUAGCUAGUUGGUGAGGUAAUGGCUCACCAAGGCGACGAUCCGUAACUGGUCUGAGAGGAUGAUCAGUCACACUGGAACUGAGACACGGUCCAGACUCCUACGGGAGGCAGCAGUGGGGAAUAUUGGACAAUGGGCGAAAGCCUGAUCCAGCCAUGCCGCGUGUGUGAAGAAGGUCUUCGGAUUGUAAAGCACUUUAAGUUGGGAGGAAGGGUUGCUGAUUAAUACUCUGCAAUUUUGACGUUACCGACAGAAUAAGCACCGGCUAACUCUGUGCCAGCCGCCGCCGUAAAAC
rnacentral:rRNA from 1 species